GAUGAACGCUGGCGGCGUGCCUAAUACAUGCAAGUCGAGCGAACGGACGAGAAGCUUGCUUCUCUGAUGUUAGCGGCGGACGGGUGAGUAACACGUGGAUAACCUACCUAUAAGACUGGGAUAACUUCGGGAAACCGGAGCUAAUACCGGAUAAUAUUUUGAACCUCAUGGUUCAAAAGUGAAAGACGGUCUUGCUGUCACUUAUAGAUGGAUCCGCGCUGCAUUAGCUAGUUGAUAAGGUAACGGCUUACCAAGGCAACGAUGCAUAGCCGACCUGAGAGGGUGAUCGGCCACACUGGAACUGAGACACGGUCCAGACUCCUACGGGAGGCAGCAGUAGGGAAUCUUCCGCAAUGGGCGAAAGCCUGACGGAGCAACGCCGCGUGAGUGAUGAAGGUCUUCGGAUCGUAAAACUCUGUUAUUAGGGAAGAACAUAUGUGUAAGUAACUGUGCACAUCUUGACGGUGCCUAAUCAGAAAGCCACGGCUAACUACGUG
rnacentral:rRNA from 1 species